UGGGGAAUACUGGACAAUGGGCGCAAGCCUGAUCCAGCAAUGCCGCGUGUGUGAAGAAGGCCUUCGGGUUGUAAAGCACUUUUAUCAGGAGCGAAACGCUGUCGGCUAAUACCCGGCGGAACUGACGGUACCUGAGGAAUAAGCACCGGCUAACUUCGUGCCAGCAGCCGCGGUAAUACGAAGGGUGCAAGCGUUAAUCGGAAUUACUGGGCGUAAAGCGUGCGUAGGCGGUUUCUUAAGUCUGCUGUGAAAUCCCCGGGCUCAACCUGGGAAUGGCAGUGGAUACUGGGAGGCUAGAGUGUGUCAGAGGGUGGUGGAAUUCCCGGUGUAGCGGUGAAAUGCGUAGAGAUCGGGAGGAACAUCAGUGGCGAAGGCGGCCACCUGGGACAACACUGACGCUGAGGCACGAAAGCGUGGGGAGCAAACAGGAUUAGAUACCCUGGUAGUCCACGCCCUAAACGAUGCGAACUGGAUGUUGGUCUCAACUCGGAGAUCAGUGUCGAAGCUAACGCGUUAAGUUCGCCGCCUGGGGAGUACGGUCGCAAGACUGAAACUCAAAGGAAUUGACGGGGUCAUAGCUGUUUCCU
rnacentral:rRNA from 1 species